ACGUAGGGGUCAAGCGUUAUCCGGAAUUACUGGGCGUAAAGGGCGAGUAGGUGGUUAUACAAGUUAAGUGUGAAAGCUCCCGGCUCAACUGGGAGAGUGCACUUAAAACUGUAUAACUAGAGGAUGGUAGAGGCAAGUGGAAUUUCCGGUGUAGCGGUGAAAUGCGUAGAUAUCGGGAGGAACACCAGUGGCGAAGGCGGCUUGCUGGGCCAUACCUGACACUGAGACGCGACAGCUGGGGGAGAGAACGGGAUUAGAAACCCCGGUAUUCCUAGCCGUAAACGAUGUCAACUAAGCGUAGGAGAUGGAAACAUGUUCUGUGCUGAAGCAAACGCGGUAAGUUGACCGCCUGGGGAGUACUGUCGCAAGGCUA
rnacentral:rRNA from 1 species